CUGGGAGGCAGAGGCAAAACACUAGGAAGACAAAAGGGAUAGGCUGGGAUUGUGACAUCAUGAUGCUUUUGUCAAAGACCCCUGGCCACUGCCAAUGAAGGUGGGCUGGACAUUGGGUUUGCACGGGUGCAUCAAAGACCCGAUGGUGACGGUGAUGCUGAUGAUGAUCAAGAGAGAGCUAUCGAGGAGAAUGCGGACUCCGGGGAACCACCUGGGAUAGCAUCCAAUCAACUGGCUGAGGAACCUGGCACAAGUACUCAAAAAGCAGAAUUACACCCUGCUACAGGAUCCACACAGCCAGAAUCAGCAGAAUCUGGUACUGUAGGUCAAAAGAUCUGUAAUAUUACUAGUAGGUGCUUUGCCUUGGUCAUUGGGGACCAUAUAACACAUGCUGUCGGGUAUUGACUACUUGUAUUAUAUUCUCAGAUUGCAAAUCAACAGUACAUACUGUAGUAUAAAUUCAUUAUAAAGGUUAUGAGUCUCUAUUUUUAUAUUGUUUACU